AAGGAAUAUUGGACAAUGGGCGAAAGCCUGAUCCAGCCAUUCCGCGUGUAGGAUGACGGCCCUCUGGGUUGUAAACUACUUUUAUUUGGGAAGAAACCCUGGGAUUAUCCCGGGCUGAC
rnacentral:rRNA from 1 species